GGGGAAUAUUGGACAAUGGGCGCAAGCCUGAUCCAGCCAUGCCGCGUGUGUGAAGAAGGCCUUCGGGUUGUAAAGCACUUUCACUUGGGAAGAAAAGUUGGUCGUUAAUAGCGGCCAGCCGUGACAUUACCUUGAGAAGAAGCACCGGCUAACUCCGUGCCAGCAGCCGCGGUAAUACGGAGGGUGCGAGCGUUAAUCGGAAUUACUGGGCGUAAAGCGCGCGUAGGCGGUUUGUUAAGUCAGCUGUGAAAGCCCCGGGCUCAACCUGGGAACUGCAGUUGAUACUGGCCGACUAGAGUACGAGAGAGGGAGGUAGAAUUCCAUGUGUAGCGGUGAAAUGCGUAGAUAUAUGGAGGAAUACCGGUGGCGAAGGCGGCCUCCUGGCUCGAUACUGACGCUGAGGUGCGAAAGCGUGGGGAUCAAAC
rnacentral:rRNA from 1 species